UAUUCGGAACGGCCGGCUCCACCUAGGAAUCAUCUGUACGGUUUCGGCCUCCCCACUCCCACUUUCGCAUCCUAUUACUUUGCGCUGCUCCAUUUCCGUUCCCCAUUUUUCCCCCUUCCGCUCCUCUCUCUUCCUGAUCCAGAGCAGUGCCGCGGGGAAGCGGCUUGGCUCCACGUCUCCACCCCGACGACGACCCAUCGUGAGCGAUUGAGGCGGAUUGAGGCUUGCGGCAGCGGAUCGAGACGACAGGAAGAGCUCCAUAUGGAGGAUCUCGUCCCAGGUAGCAUGCGAGCGAUUGAAAGCGCGGUGCUCCCUGUUUUGGCGAGCGCGGUGGAGCCCCUGCGGCAGCGAAUGCGGAGGAGCGUGUCCUCAUCUCCGGAUCUUCCUCAACAAGCCAAAACGGAGGCAAGGAGGGCUCGAGGUCGAGGGGGUCGGAGGCGGAUUUUGCCGUCGGCGCUUCUCGUUCCAAGCACAACCUACGCCGCUGCCUCGUAGCCUUCAUCUCCUUCGUGUGCCGCUGCUCCUCUCGCUCCCGGGAGCCCAGAUCUGGUGGCGAAGAUAAGUUGUGUCACACCAUUGCGUCGCUUCAGGUCAGCCACCCCAAACCCUAGCUCUGCUAGUUCACACACAAGGUAUGGAUGUGAGUUUCUAGAUCGUCUUCUCCUUCCCCUUCGGGUUCCUAGGCACACGCAUGCGUGCGGGUCAUUGAAUUCGCAUCGGGUCAUUGAAUUUGCGUCCGUGGCUAGCUCUAUUUUUUGACGCAUUCUAUUCAAUUAUGGGUUUCUGGUGUAGAUGCCUAGAUUGUGUGUCUAAUUCUCAUGGUUAGGUGCUUGGUUGGUCCUAUACACUAGUCACCUAGGUUUUGAUUCCGUUCGAUUUGUAGCUAUUGGGGGGGGGGGGGGGGGGGGCUAGUAGCAUUGUUUCUGUAUUCUGCUCGUGUUGUUUCUCUAAAUGUUGUAUUAGUUUGAAUUUUGAUCUACUUGCUUAAUGUUGAUUUUCCAUGCUAUUAAGGCACUAAUUUUGUGAACACAUUGAAAUUUGUUGAUUGUUUUAUUUAGAUGAUUCUGCCAAACAUUGUGUCAUGAGCAACAUCUGCAUAUAAAUUAGGUUAUCUUUCCCAUUUUCAGUCACAAGGAUUAUUUUGAUCCUAUUAUCUCCUGAUAUCCUUAGUACUGGAGCCACGUGCCCCCUCCUCCGUCGCCCCUGAUGAGUUGCCGAUGGGUUGAGGCCACCAAAAUAUUUACAUGCAGUAUCCUUUUGUUCAACUUAUUAUGCAGAGACUGUUCAUCGAAUAGCCCAUAUUUAUAUGCAUGGCAAUAGGCAUUCUUUAGCACUGAUUAACUCACCUGGUUUAUUAGAAACUUUAGACCAAUGUGUCUUAGUUAAUUUAUCUGGGUGGUAAUUUUCACUUUAGUUUUUUUAGAGAUUUGAUACAAUGCAUCUCGGACAGAAGUGGCAGCAUGGAUGUGCUCCAUCAUCCAAUGUGGUAUGUGCUGCAAACAAUGAUAUUUCAUUUUGUAUGUUCAAAACAGGAUGUUACUUUAUUUUCACUAGCAAUUAUAAUUAUUCCUUAUAGCAUUUUUGUAGCUUUCGAUAAGCAAUAAUUUACAUUUCCUAGUUUAGCAAAUGAGAUUCUAGUGUUUUGUGCUAUUCUUAGUCAAUAGCAGAACUUGAUAUAAUAAAGUGUGAUCUCCAUCAUUAUAUGAUUCUUAUCUACAACAAGCACACAUAUUUAACAUUUGUGCUAGAUCCUAUAUUUUUUAUGAUAUAAGCAUAUCUGGUUCUUUACUUUGGCAAUAAUAUAGGUAGAGAGUAGGCAAUAAUAUUAUUCUAGAUAGGCAAUAGUAUGAGUUACAAUUGGUAUUUUUUCUGCAGAAGGUUACAUUGGCUCCCCCACCAUCACUAACCUUUUCAUUUGCUAGCACCAAUUACUAUGCCAAGAGCACAGAAGCACAACAAGUCAUGAUGCGAUAUCAUCCAAUGUAUGUUUUUGUAUGUUUCAGCAUUUGCUGGUUGUGAAUUUGAGGCCCUGGAAAGGACAUACUCUUUUGCUGCUAGCUUGAAGCGGGAAGGGCUGCCUCCUCCUGUUAAGAAAUUGCAGAAAGGUUUGUCAAGCAGAUCACAUUCCUUUUUCAUUUCAGUAUAAAGAACAGUAUACCUAGUUGCUAGAUUUCUUGUAGCUUGACUAGGCAUCAUAUAAUUGUGUUUUAGUCCUGCAUUGGGGUAGUUGAUCUAGUUGAUCAGUGUAGUCUACAUCAUAUCAUUGAGAUCCUAACUGUAAGAUCAGGAGGUGGUCCUGAUAGUUGUAUCAGGAGCAUAUCUUGUGGUCGAGGAUGUUUCAUUUUAUGAUAUGAAGAAGCCACGUGAUAUGUUCAUUUCUGCAUUUCUGAAUGGAAGAUAGUUUUUAUCUUUGCAGUCCUGAAACUGGUUGCAUGUAUAUUCAUUAUUAGCAUUUUAAUAAAUUUCAAUAGGCAUUUUAAUACUAUCCGACUAGCAUUUAAAAUAUUCACAUGAAGCAAUUUAGAAAUGUUUCGGCUUUCUAUCGAUUAGUACAUAAGCAUUGUAUGCAACUUAUGCUAAAUCAACUAGCAUUUUGGUAGAACUUAUAAUCAUUUAUAUAGAACUAACAAUCUCUAUUGCCAGGGUGCCUUGCUGAUGUUUACUCCUAAUACUAACUGCACUCUAUUCUUUUCAUGUUUCCAAUUCUCUUUUUGGUCACACAAAACAGUGUUUAGGAUCUGAAACCGAUAAUUUUUAUGCAUGCAAGUUUUCCAUAGUGAAUCAUCACUAUAACAUGCUCUUAGGCUGUAAGGCUUGUACUAUUGUAUUUUUCGUUAUAUCCCUUAUUGAGUUUUCAACAUUCUAUCCAUAGCAAAACACAGUUUUUUCCCUCACAGCUUGGUGUUCGCGGUGGCUUGAGAGUUCGUAAGAUCGUCAUCGGUAAGAAAUUUAGUUGCAGCUCAAUCCCAAUUUGAUUCAUGCACAGCUUGGUAGUAGUUGUAGUAGCUCCAAUAUUCUGUUUGAUCAGCACUACACUUGAGGCAAUCACAGCAUGUAUGCUGGUAGUUUUGCAAUUUUAAUAAUGUCUAGAAUUUAGAUAGGCAAAAAUGCCUUUGUAUAUAUUCUGAUUUGCUUACCGGUUUUCAAACCUUUGCUUAUGAGAUCCCAAAAAUUACUUUUUUAUUGUACUUGUUGAAGCAUCCAGAAGCAAGGAAAUUAGGAGGAUUGGUGGUACAA